rnacentral:tRNA from 1 species
UGCAGCUUACUCAGUUGGUAGAGUGCUUGCCUAGAAUGCAUGAAGCCCUGGGUUCAAACUCUAGAAGUGCAU